UACGUAGGGGGCAAGCGUUGUCCGGAAUCAUUGGGCGUAAAGCGCGUGUAGGCGGCCAGAAAAGUCCGCUGUGAAAACUCGAGGCUCAACUUCGAGCUGUCGGUGGAAGCUUUCUGGCUAGAGUCCGGAAGAGGAGAAUGGAAUUCCUGGUGUAGCGGUGAAAUGCGCAGAUAUCAGGAAGAACACCCGUGGCGAAGGCGGUUCUCUGGGACGGUACUGACGCUGAGACGCGAAAGCGUGGGGAGCGAACAGG
rnacentral:rRNA from 1 species